UUGGAGGGCAAGUCUGGUGCCAGCAGCCGCGGUAAUUCCAGCUCCAAUAGCGUAUAUUAAAGUUGUUGCAGUUAAAAAGCUCGUAGUUGAAUUUUAGGCCUGGCCGGGCGGUCCGUCUUUGGCGAGUACUGUCUUGUUGUCGGGUCUUCCUUCUGGUGAACCAGUAUGUCCUUUAUUGGGUGUGUUGGGGAGCCAGGACCAUUACCUUGAAAAAAUUAGAGUGUUUAAAGCGGGCUAUUGCUUGAAUAGAUUAGCAUGGAAUAAUAGAAUAGGACGUUGUGGUUCUAUUUUGUUGGUUUCUAGGACCACCGUAAUGAUUAAUAGGGAUAGUUGGGGGCAUUAGUAUUCAAUUGUCAGAGGUGAAAUUCUUGGAUUUAUUGAAGACUAACUAUUGCGAAAGCAUUUGCCAAGGAUGUUUUCAUUAAUCAAGAACGAAAGUUAGGGGAUCGAAGACGAUCAGAUACCGUCGUAGUCUUAACCAUAAACUAUGCCGACUAGGAAUCGGGCGUCGUUAUUUUCACGACUCGCUCGGCGCCUUAGGG
rnacentral:rRNA from 1 species